rnacentral:rRNA from 1 species
AGUCGAACGCGAAAGCCCCGCAAGGGGCAAGUAGAGUGGCAAACGGGUGAGUAACACGUGGGUGACCUGCCUUCGAGCGGGGGAUAACGUCCCGAAAGGGACGCUAAUACCGCAUAACAUCCUGCCUUUGAAGAGGCGGAGAUCAAAGCUGGGGAUCGCAAGACCCGGCACUUGAAGAGGGGCCCGCGCCUGAUUAGCUAGUUGGUGGGGUAAUGGCCUACCAAGGCAACGAUCAGUAUCCGGCCUGAGAGGGCGGACGGACACACUGGGACUGAGACACGGCCCAGACUCCUACGGGAGGCAGCAGUGGGGAAUUGUUCGCAAUGGGCGCAAGCCUGACGACGCAACGCCGCGUGGAGGAUGAAGAUUUUCGGAUCGUAAACUCCUGUCGAAUGGGACGAAUAGAUUGCGGGUUAACAGCCCGCGGUCCUGACGGUACCGUUAAAGGAAACCCCGGCUAACUCCGUGCCAGCAGCCGCGGUAAUACGGGGGGGGUAAGCGUUGUUCGGAAUUACUGGGCGUAAAGGGCUCGUAGGCGGCCAACUAAGUCAUACGUGAAAUCCCUCAGCUUAACUGGGGAACUGCGUGUGAUACUGGAUGGCUUGGAUUUGGGAGAGGGAUGCGGAAUUCCAGGUGUAGCGGUGAAAUGCGUAGAUUUCUGGAGGAACACCGGUGGCGAAGGCGGCAUCCUGGACCAAUAUUGACGCUGAGGAGCGAAAGCCAGGGGAAGCAAACGGGAUUAGAUACCCCGGUAGUCCUGGCCCUAAACGAUGAAUGCUUGGUGUAGCGGGUAUCGAUCCCUGCUGUGCCG